AAGCAUUACCUCGUAUACCUAACAUUUGAACACUUAAAAUUGGUCUUAACCUAACCUGGUGCUCAGUAGAGUUACUCUGGGCAACACUUUUCACAUUAGAAUUAAUUGUCGAAAAAUGUCCGACGUUUUCCAUGGUCACCCUAUUUUCGUUCAUCAUGGUCACCCUAUCGCGGCCACUUGGUACCUCGGAAUAACUAUGUUUUGGUUCGGUACCACUCGAGUAACGCAUCAGGGGCCUAUUCCUAGAACUAAUAUUAUUGUUUAUAUUAUGAUUAAGUCUAGAAUAAUUUUGAAGUCUAACCUUGUUAUCAGUACCGAAAAAGCGCGGAGGAAGAAUCGCCUUAAAAUCGGUAGGAUAAUAAUUAUUUUCAUUAUCAACAAAACAUUGUUUACGAUUAUUAAUAUAAAUGGACGACUUUACGGUGUUUGAAGUGCAAGCUGUAUGCAACGAGCUGUCGCGAUGAAUAGAGUUCACUGAACUUGACAGCUGUGUAUUUACUUUACCAAUAGGUAAAUCGGAUGUGACUGAUCGGGUCCGUGCAGCGUCGACGGCGUAAUAACUUGCGUUACACUUUGUACACUGAGACCGAGUAACACCUUUGGUACCACACCCGUAACACGAGGAUACAGCUUGCGUAUUUUCGUUGUCGAAUUUUGACGCUAAUUUUAAACACUCAUCACGAAUAUGUCCGUACUUUUUGCAAUAAACACAGAACAGUCUUUUAACAAUCGACGUAGAUGAUACAUUAUCAGUGUUCGUGUAGCGAGGCGCGGGGACUCGAACGGUGCUCGGCGCAGCGCUGUCGUCGCGUGGCGGGCCGCCAGCGGCGCCCGAGUUGAAUAUUUUCCGCGGCGUCAUCCGCGCGUAUGUAUGCUGCGAAGUCGAAGCACCGGCGGGAACUUCGCCUACGCUACUACCCGAUGAACGUGGCGUCGCUCGCUGAGGAUGAUGAAUAAAUUCAGGCGGACUGGUCUCGUAGAUGGAGUCCUCGAUAUGGCGCGUUUUCUUUAAUAACGUGUCGUAUGAAGUUAUUUCGUCUCUUCCUAAUCUUUUACGAACACGACGGUGUAGAAGGCCGUAAAGCAUAUCAAUUUGAACUUUCUCACUAAGGUCACCAGGUGGGAGUCGAGCUAGUAGGGCUCGUGCUCUGGCAACGAAGAUCUCCGUCUUCUCUCUUUGUCCUUGCGACAUUUUGAAGAGCUCUAAGUAGACUCGAUGGGGCGGUCUGCAAUCACCGAAAGCGCUUCGUAACGAUGAUAAAGCGUCGUCCCAGGAAGUGAUGCUAGCUUUAACGCCUUGCCACCACACGGCUGCAUUUCCGGUUAGUAACAUCGAGAGUCCUCGUAACGCGAUGGCGUGUCCUACGUCAGCACAAUCUUUGUAUGAUUCGACCGCGUCAAGGAAACCGUCGAGUGAGUCGCCGGGCGCUCCGCUGAACCGCGCCGUGCAUGACGCGAAGUUCCCAGAAUGGUGAGCGGGCGUCGAGGAAGGCGGCGAUGUCGGCUCCGACGUCGGUGUUGCUGAUGAUUCGAGUUGAGUUUUAUGCUCAAAAACUCGGUCGAGUAGGCGUUCGAAUGCUGCCAUUUGACUUUCUUGUAAUGACGCCAUGUUGUUUGCGGUAAAUGUUGGCGUCGGUCCCGCGGUUGAACCAAUUUCUUCUUCAACGUCUUGAAAAUCGGAUUGACGCCGUGACUGACGACGAGUACGUGUCGUAAUUACGUAGAUUCACUCCGAAAUACUAGUUAAAGGGCCCCCGCUUGGGCUGCCAGUUUAAUGUUAGGUGCCCGACUGGCAUGAGACUCUCGGGUUGUCAGUUCCGGUAUCGACCGGGGACACGUGUAUUCCGCUUCAAAGUCUGACGUGGUCUGGCGCGCACUAAUUGCCAUAAUUGGGGGUGCGAAUGAUGCAACAGAUGCGCGGGCGCGGGUAGCGCGGGGUGGGUCGUCGCGGCACGGACCUGAGUCACAUUCCCUUUGGCUGCUGUUGCCCCGCGAAACGGAACGCUGCGUUACAGUGUAAUAAUAAUCAACAUCAACUUUUACAAAUUUAAACCGAAUUAAAUUUUGUUUCAAAUGUGAAGGGUAGAUGACGCUGUUCUUAAUUAUUUCAGAAUUUAAAAUUAAAAUCUGAAAGCCUUGAAACAUCAAUCCGCAUAAAUGUAAUUUAAAAACUACAGUAAGAGGCUUAAAUAAAAAGCUGAACUUAACUCAGCCUUAAUUAGAAUUUUCAUCGGAAUUCAGUAGUAAAGUUCAAGUUAUUUUGAUGAAAUCAAAACCGAAAUAUUCAUAGCAUCUUAAACAAUCACCUACGAAUAAAUAUUAGUUAUUAUAUUAUUUAUUAUUCGUAGACAAUCACAACGGUUUUAUAGUUUUGGGAAGGGAUUUUUUGUAACGCCAUCUCGUAAAGUAUUUCGGUAUUACAUUACAAAACAAAAUUGUUUCUCCAACAGUAACAACAGUACUUGCUUCGGCAGUACUUAAACUAAAAUACUAACAGUAACAACAUUAACGUUAUUUAAUGUAUAAACCGUUCAAUAAGAACUGCAAACUAUCCCCUUGAAGCUACAGUUUAUGUAGGAAUAAGGACUUUUUGGCGGGAACGCGAGUAGUGAAGUUGUGUGAUUUGUUUUAAUUUGUCUAUUUAGUGUUUCUUCGGGUUUAAAUGUGUAAUAAUAGUGGUUUAUUAACUGUUUAAUAUCUGUUUAAGUGCACAAACGUGGGAAAAUGAAACAAAGCCGCUGUACGUAACUUCUCGGUUUCCUCCAAAAAGUCCACUGAGAUCUUAGUAAAUGACCACCACCAUUUUACUGAGAUUAUAUUUCAUUCCAUAUCAUCUCAUCUCAUUUCAUUUCAUCCCUUUUGAUUAAUGUCUCAAAUUAAUCAUCUUCAUUUCAUUUCACUCCAUAAUAUCACAUUUCAUUUCACUCCAUAAUAUCAUUUUUCAUAAAAAUAUGAAUAUAAAUUAAAAUAAGAUAUGACUUAAAGGUCUCAGUUACCAGGUCAUAAAAUCCAUUACAAAUAGGAAUAAUUCCAGCGCACCCUGGCGGCCGUAGAUUACCAUUCUCGAAUAUUUAUAGUCUGUGGCAUGUCACUUUUUACAUCGAAAAAAGUCAGGAUCGAAAUUUUUGAGCGAGCCAUAGUUUGUGGUGAUAAAAUUAAUAAUUUCAAUUAGAUUAAUUGUUGUAAUUGAUAUGACUAGUUAAUAUCAGUAAAAUAAAGUUGUGAGUGAUUGAUAUAAUAUACAAUUUAGGAACCAGAAGUACCGUAGAAUUAAAUAAAAUUUCGCAACCUCAAAAAACUGUUCUGCUCACCUUCGAUCAAUAAUACCACUAGAUUCGCGAUUAGCGCUUCAAAAACGGCCCGAAAAAUAAGACCACAAAUAAAUUUGUGGUCUUAUUUCAAAUUAGUAUGGUCCAAUCAUAGCCAACACUAAGACGUCAAAACGCUGCAAUGCGCGUUCAAAAACUGAGUAAAAAACCACCGUAACACCAAGGUUUUGGAAGGAAUAUCUUUUUUUGAUUUCCUAGUAGCCCCUUGUCGCUGUGCACAAUGGAUAUAUAUUGUCGCGAAAGAAAGAGGAGAAGAAAUAUAGAACCCUUAUAAAAAUUCUAGAAUUGUUCAAUGGUGGUGGCAAAUCAAUGCAAAAAAGUAUUAAAAAAACUUUAUAUGUAUAUGUAAAUAUUUUAAGCGUAUAUGCUGAAAAGGAUUUGUUUUCUGGGGGAAACGAACACAGCCAUAAAAUAAGCCUAAAUUAAACUGAUUAUAGAAAAAUUCAUUGAUAUAAGAUUACAUUAUAUUUGUAAAAAAGAAACCGCUCAUAUAAAAAUGACUUCUAAAAGACAGCUUUAUAACAAACUGAAUCUGUUUAAAGGUAAUUAAACCUACAUUAUUGUUUUAAUUACUUCUGUAUAAAGAAUACGUGGAAAACAUGUAUCGUGUUUCCUUUCAUAUUUUUUUUACUUUAUUCAAUUUUAUUUUUUAUCACCUAUUUGUUGUAAUAGCGGCCAUGUAAAAUAUUAUCUACUACUUUUUUGAAUCGGUCAAAAAUAGUUGCGACCAUACAAAACAAACCUAAAACAAAUAUGUAUAUUCUGCAACUCUAUGUCUUUCAAUACUUACUGUGUUCUGAGCAUUGAAAUGUAAUACCAAGAACUACAUCUAGUUCCACAAUACAAUAAGCACGAAAUUUUAAACAAAUAUUUUUAACCUUAUAAAUUAGGCUUUAAGUAUCAUUUUAGAAUAAAUAUUUUUGUACUGAUGUCUUUUUAUGUUCAAGUGACAUUUUAAAUUUAUUCCAUAAUAUUCUUUUUCUGACGAAAGGACCUAAAUACAUAUAUUUUGCAAUGGUAAUUAAA